rnacentral:rRNA from 1 species
CAGUCGCCGCGGUAACACAGAGGGUGCGAGCGUUAAUCGGAUUUACUGGGCGUAAAGCGUGCGUAGGCGGCUAAUUGAGUCGGAUGUGAAAUCCCCGAGCUUAACUUGGGAAUUGCAUUCGAUACUGGUUAGCUAGAGUGUGGGAGAGGAUGGUAGAAUUCCAGGUGUAGCGGUGAAAUGCGUAGAGAUCUGGAGGAAUACCGAUGGCGAAGGCAGCCAUCUGGCCUAACACUGACGCUGAGGUACGAAAGCAUGGGGAGCAAACAGGAUUAGAUACCCCUGUAGUCCCUGUCUCUAUACA